rnacentral:rRNA from 1 species
UACGGGGGGGGCAAGCGUUGUUCGGAAUUACUGGGCGUAAGGGGUUCGUAGGUGGCGCACUAAGUCAGACGUGAAAUCCCUCAGCUUAACUGGGGAACUGCGUCUGAGACUGGUGGGCUUGAGUGCAGGAGAGGAACGCGGAAUUCCAGGUGUAGCGGUGAAAUGCGUAGAUAUCUGGAGGAACACCGGUGGCGAAGGCGGCGUUCUGGACUGCAACUGACACUGAGGAACGAAAGCCAGGGGAGCAAACGGG